rnacentral:rRNA from 1 species
AUUGAACGCUGGCGGCAGGCCUAACACAUGCAAGUCGAACGAGAGUGGCAGGGGGGCGUAAUGUCUGGGAAAAUGUCUGAUAUGGGGGGAUAACAACUGGAAAAGGGGGGUAAAAACGCAUACCAUCAGCUGUGCGCAGAUGGGGGUAGCUAGUUGGUGGGGUAAUGGGUCACCUCGUCGACGAUCCCUAGCUGGGCUGAGAGGGUGACCAGCCACACUGGAACUGAGACACGGUCCAGACUCCUACGGGAGGCAGCAGUGGGGAAUAUUGCGCAAUGGGCGCAAGCCUGAUGGAGCCAUGCCGCGUGUGUGAAGAAGGCCUUCGGGUUGUAAAGCACUUUCAGCGGGGAGGCGGUACCCGCAGAAGAAGCACCGGCUAACUCCGUGCCAGCAGCCGCGGUAAUUC